rnacentral:rRNA from 1 species
UACGGGGGGUGCGAGCGUUGUUCGGAAUUAUUGGGUCUAAAGGGUCUGUAGCCGGCCGGAUAAGUCUCUUGAGAAAUCCAGCAGCUCAACUGUUGGGCUUUCAGGAGAUACUGUUCGGCUCGAGGCCGGGAGAGGUGAGAGGUACUUCAGGGGUAGGGGUGAAAUCUUGUAAUCCUUGAAGGACCACCAGUGGCGAAGGCGUCUCACCAGAACGGACCUGACGGCAAGGGACGAAAGCUAGGGGCACGAACCGG